AUUGAACGCUGGCGGCAGGCCUAACACAUGCAAGUCGAACGAGUGGCGGACGGGUGAGUAAUGUCUGGGAAACUGCCUGAUGGAGGGGGAUAACUACUGGAAACGGUAGCUAAUACCGCAUACCAUCGGAUGUGCCCAGAUUGGAUUAGCUAGUAGGUGGGGUAAAGGCUCACCUGGGCGACGAUCCCUAGCUGGUCUGAGAGGCUGACCAGCCAAACUGGAACUGGGACACGGGCCAGACUCCUACGGGAGGCAGCAGUGGGGAAUAUUGCACAUUGGGCGCAAGCCUGAUGCAGCCAUGCCGAGUGUAGGAAGAAGGCCUUCGGGUUGUAAAGUACUUUCAGCGGGGAGGCGUUACCCGCAGAAGAAGCACCGGCUAACUCCGUGCCAGCAGCCGCGGUAAUAC
rnacentral:rRNA from 1 species